rnacentral:lncRNA from 1 species
UAAUCAAUAAAACUAUACAUAAAUGAAAAUUUUAAUGAAUUAAAAAUUUUUUUGCUCAUCAAAGAAAAAGAUGUAGAGGAAAAUUAAGCCACAAUUAAUGGAGCAUUUAUCGUACAUACUAGAGGAGCAUGACCCGUGUCAGCACGGACCCAACAUUAAGAUAUUUAUUUGUCUUUUCAAUAUUAAUUAUUGUGAUUUCUAGUAUUUUUCAUGAAUUUUUGUGAAAUAUAUAAUAUAUAUUGUUUUAUAUCUUCUUCUGUCCCGUCCCAAUUUAUGUGGCACUAAUAUAAUUUUGAUAGUCAAUCAAAUA